AGAGAGAGAGAGAGAGAGAGAGAGAGAGAGAGAGAGAAUGGAAGGAAAGAAGGGGGAGGGAGAGAGAGAGAAGGAGGGAGGGAAGUGGGGGCAGGGAGAGAGAAAGAACACCUUCUUUUUUCCUUUUACAAAAGUAACCAGAAUCUCAUUUAAUAAAUAACAAGGCAGAUGAGAAGUCCCAAGCCUGCGCGUGAGGAACUGCGGAAGCCCACGGUCUCUGUCACUGCUGAUGUCACUCUCCACAGGGCUGAGAGGUACCAGUGGACAUGACAGCCCAGGAGAAGGUGACUGGGAGUCCAUGAGGACAAAUGGGACACAAUGCAGAAGCCUGUCUUGAGACCUUCCAGCUGGUUUGCAUUUCCUCAUGGGAUAGGAGCCCUCUCUUGUAGGCUGGGAAGGCAGUGGGACCACCACACGAUUUUAUGGAUCCAUUUUCACUUUUCCAGAUGCAAAGAGAGGAGCCGUAAUUACCUUGCGUACGUUUUGAUAACGUCCCUUGGGCAAGAGUUGUGGUUAAGAACGUCAUGACCCUCAGAAAUUCGGGAAAGAUGUGCACUUGGCUGAUGCCUGUGGCAGAGUCUGGCUCUCAGCCUUCUGUUCCGCAGUUCCUGAAGCCCAGGACUAUGAAAGUGCCCCGUUGACCACAGGGUUCCAGGGUCCACCUAUUGUCGCCAGAGAUAAACCUCCAAGAGCACCAUGUUUGAUCAGAGCCUGGAUCCCAUCUGGGAGGAGGAGAGGGAAUCCCAUGAGCAAAUAGGUAAGAAGAUCCCGUUGUUCAGUCAUGUCCUCUGACACUGUAGCAAUGCAUGCAUAUGGUUGCACUUGGCAUUCUGACACGUGCAUAGAGUGUUUUCAUCUCUUCCCUGGAGGUGAGGCCAAAGCCUGAGGUUCCUUUUGACACAGCUCUGCAAAAACUCCGGCUUUGUGCUCUCCUGUGCUUUGCAAUAACAUACCAGCUCUGCGGUGUGGCCAAUGUUUACUUAAUU